UUGGAUUCUAGUGGGAACCUGAGGUUGA
rnacentral:piRNA from 2 species